ensembl:lncRNA
AAUGCCUUCUUUACAUCUGCCUUUAAUAGGCAGAUCAGUUAUCCUCAGAGCACUUUAUGCCCUAAUCUGGAAGUCUGGGCUGGUUCACAGCAUACACCCCUGGCGAUUCAGGUGGAGACAGAGAGCUCCUCCUCCAUCUGGAGUGUCACAAGUCCAAGGGAUCAGAUGGGAUCCACCCUCGGGUGCUGAGGGAGUUGGUGGGGGUGGUUGCCGAGCCACUCUCUGCCAUCUACCGUCACUUCUGGUUAUCUGGAGAGGUCCCAGAGGAUUGGAGGCUUGUCGAUGCGACUCCCAUCUACAAGAAGGGCUGUAAGAAGGAUCUGGGGAACUACAGGCCGGUCAGCCUGACCUCAGUACCAGGGAAAGCCACUGUUGGUGAGGCAAAGAAAAGUCAUGCCUGAGAAUCUUCCUCCUCUCUCCAGGUAGAGGAGUAGAAAUGAAUUUUGGGAAGAAAAUGACAACAACAACAAAAAUCACCACCAAUUUAUCUUUCUGAGGAGUACUUAAACAUUUGAAUAGGAAAAAGGAACAGUGAAAAGAAGAAAUUUCGAGAAAUACCGAUAUCCUCUAAGUGUAUAUCUUGGAAAGACUAUAGAGAGACUACUCUUAUAGUCAACGUUUUAUUAUAAGGGCGUACACUCAUGGAUUACAAUUAGGAGUAACUGUGGAAGGAACAGCCUCUACCAGCAACCUCUCGGCAGUCUGUAUAAACAGAUGAUGACUACCUCUCAAUCAGCCACCAACUGAGAAGCUGCUUGUUGGAGGACCAGAGGAUGCUGCAUGGGAUACACAGAUUUUGGCUGACACUGUCACAGAGCAGCUUAAUGACUCCCACAGUACGAUGUACUAGGCUUAUAUUGAGCCUAGUUGAAAGCUUAUCAGAGGUGAACGUUGGUGGUGUGGCGGCUGAACUUUCCCACCAAUAUUCCAUUACAUUCUGUUGCUGUGUGACAGAUGGCAUCAGAGGAGCAGUCUGAAAAAAAUGGCAUCUAACAUGGAAGUGCAUAUGUAGCAAAGAACUUCAGAAAGAUGUAUGCCUGCUGCCCAGCUGGUUUGCAUAACAAACUUUUUGGAAUCCACAGAGACUUGCAUUCACAAUGAAGAAAUGAAUCUGUGAACUUUGUCUAUAAUCCAGGAGAAUGGGUGGUGUGAUUCCAUUUUGUACAUGGCCUCCUGGCCUUGUUGAAUUUUCACUAAUUGAAAGAAGAACAUCAAGAACAUUUUCCAAGAGAGGAAUUUGGUAUCCGUG